UACGUAGGGGGCAAGCGUUGUCCGGAUUUAUUGGGCGGAAAGAGCGUGUAGGCGGCUUUGCAAGUCCGUUGUGAAAACUCGAGGCUCAACCUCGAGACGCCGGUGGAAACUGCAAAGCUAGAGUCCGGAAGAGGAGAGUGGAAUUCCUGGUGUAGCGGUGAAAUGCGCAGAUAUCAGGAAGAACACCCGUGGCGAAGGCGGCUCUCUGGGACGGUACUGACGCUGAGACGUGAAAGCGUGGGGAGCGAACAGG
rnacentral:rRNA from 1 species